UUGUAGCUCAGUGGGAGAGCGCUUGCCUAGCAUGUGUGAGGCACUGGGUUCGAUCCUCAGACAUAAA
rnacentral:tRNA from 1 species